UAGGGAAUCUUCCACAAUGGACGCAAGUCUGAUGGAGCAACGCCGCGUGAGUGAAGAAGGUUUUCGGAUCGUAAAGCUCUGUUGUUGGUGAAGAAGGAUAGAGGCAGUAACUGGUCUUUAUUUGACGGUAAUCAACCAGAAAGUCACGGCUAACUACGUGCCAGCAGCCGCGGUAAUACGUAGGUGGCAAGCGUUGUCCGGAUUUAUUGGGCGUAAAGCGAGCGCAGGCGGAAAGAUAAGUCUGAUGUGAAAGCCCACGGCUCAACCGUGGAACUGCAUCGGAAACUGUCAUUCUUGAGUGCAGAAGAGGAGAGUGGAAGUCCAUGUGUAGCGGUGGAAUGCGUAGAUAUAUGGAAGAACACCAGUGGCGAAGGCGGCUCUCUGGUCUGCAACUGACGCUGAGGCUCGAAAGCAUGGGUAGCGAACAGG
rnacentral:rRNA from 1 species